rnacentral:rRNA from 1 species
GUAGGUGGCAGGCGUUGUCCGGAAUUAUUGGGCGUAAAGCGCGCGCAGGCGGUUCUUUAAGUCUGAUGUGAAAGCCCACGGCUCAACCGUGGAGGGUCAUUGGAAACUGGAGAACUUGAGUACAGAAGAGGAAAGCGGAAUUCCACGUGUAGCGGUGAAAUGCGUAGAGAUGUGGAGGAACACCAGUGGCGAAGGCGGCUUUCUGGUCUGUAACUGACGCUGAGGCCCGAAAGCGUGGGGAGCAAACAGGGAUUAGAUACCCUGGUAGUCCACGCCGUAAACGAUGAGUGCUAAGUGUUAGGGGGUUUCCCGCCCCUUAGUGCUGCAGCUAACGCAUUAAGCACUCCGCCUGGGGAGUACGGCCGCAAGGCUG